UCUCAGCAUCUGAAAUGAAGUAGGACCACCCGCUGAACUUAAGCAUAUCAUUAAGCGGAGGAAAAGAAACUAACAAGGAUUCCCUUAGUACGGGCGACGGAAGCGGGAAAAGCCCACACUGGUAAUCUCCGGGCGGCAGCUCGGCGAAUUGUAAUCUGAAGAUUUGCAGUCUACCUGGGCCGGACGCCGAAGUGCGCACGAGCGCGCCGCCAAAGAGGGUGAGAGCCCCGUAUGGUGUCGGGUCCUACAAGGGCUGUGGGUCAAAGAGUCGUGUACUUUGAUACUAGUGCACUAAGCGGGAGAUAAACUUCUUCUAAGGCUAAAUACAAGUAGGAAACCGAUAGCGAACAAGUACUGUGAAGGAAAGAUGAAAAGCACUUUGGAAAGAAAGUUAAAAGACUUGAAAUCGUUGAGGCGGACCCGGUAGAAAUGUAUUCUAGCGAAGCGCCCUGGGAAGCCUGUAUUCGGGCCACUCGGGCGUCAGCCGAGACAAGAUGGAGUCGCCGGAUACCAGAGGCCGUGCGUGAGGGUGCUUGCAUCAGCGCGUGCUGGCCGGGUGUCGGGCGGCUUGAGGGGCCUUGCGCGAUCUUGUCAAAAUGGUUUUUACCGACUCGUCUUGAAACACGAACCAAGGAGUCUAAGACUAACGCGAGUGUGGUGGUGGAGAAACCAACACGCGAAAUGAAAGUAAACGAUGCCAAGACACCUGCAGCAUCGACCGACCACUUUCUCUUGGGAGAGGUUUGAGUAAGAGCGUUAUUCUUAGGACCCGAAAGAUGGUGAACUAUGCCUGUGUAGGGUGAAGUCAGGGGAAACUCUGAUGGAAGCUCGUAGCGAUACUGACGUGCAAAUCGUUCGUCGAACAUGGGUAUAGGGGCGAAAGACUAAUCGAACCAUCUAGUAGCUGGUUCCCUCCGAAGUUUCCCUCAGGAUAGCUGGGACAAGUACGCAGUUUUAUUAGGUAAAGCGAAUGAUUAGAGGCAUCUGGAAUAAAAUGUUCUGGACCUAUUCUCAAACUUUAAAUUGGUAAGAACUCCAUUCUUUUCUUAACUGAAGACGGAGGUUCAAUGCGUGUCCUUAGUGGGCCAUUUUUGGUAAGCAGAACUGGCGAUGAGGGGUGCUCCUAACGUCUGGUUAAGGUGCCAAACUACACGCUCAUCAGAAACUACAAAGGGUGUUAGUUCAUGAAGACAGCAGGACGGUGGCCAUGGAAGUCGGAACCCGCUAAGGAGUGUGUUACAACUCACCUGCCGAAUGAACUAGUCCCGAAAAUGGAUGGCGCUAAAGCGUGUGACCGAUACCGGACCAUUGGUGCGAGAGUUAGGCAUCAAUGAGUAGGAGGGCGUGGGCGUCGCGGCGAAGCCUCUAGCGUGAGCUUGGGUUGAGCGGCGUCUAGUGCAGAUCUUGGUGGUAGUAGCAAUUAUUCAAAUGAGAACUUUGAAGGCCGAAGUGGAGAAGGUUUCCGUGAGAACAGCAAUUGGUCACGGGUGACUCGAUCCUAAGACAUGGGGGAAAUCCUUGUUAAGUGCGCGCAAGCGCGUAGUCGAAAGGGAAUGAGGUUAAUAUUCCUCAAGCUGGAUGUGGGCGCUAAGUGGCAACACAAACGAACUUAGAGCCGCCAGCGUGAGCCUCUGGAAGAGUUGUCUUUUCUUUUUAACAGCCUAGUGCCCCUGAAAUUGGUUUACCCAGAGAUAGGGGGACAUGGCUGGAAGAGCACCCUGCGUUUCGGGGUGUCAGGUGCGCUCAUGAUGGUCCGUGAAAAUCUAAGUGAGAUAGUAUCACACCAGGUCGUACCCACAACCGCAUCAGGUCUCCAAGGUUAGCAGCCUCUGGCCUACUAGAAUAAUGUAGAUAAGGGAAGUCGGCAAAAUAGUUCCGUAACUUCGGGAAAAGGAAUGGCUCUGAGGACAGGGCAGUCAGGGCCUGCCUGGAUGGUCAAGUUGUACUGACGCUGCUUCGCAAGUUGCGGAGUCAGUAAUGACGAAAGCCGGACGGAUAGGUCGAGCUUGCUCUCCUGCUGCGAUGAACUGUCAACUCAGAACUGGAGCGGACAAGGGGAAUCCGACAGUUUAAUAAAAACCAAGCAUUGUGAUGGCGUUAAAACGUGAUGACACAAUGUGAUUUCUGCCCAGUGCUCUGAAUGUCAAAGUGAAGAAAUUCGACCAAGCGCGGGUAAACGGCGGGAGUAACUAUGACUCUCUUAAGGUAGCUAAAUGCCUCGUCAUCUAAUUAGUGACGCGCAUGAAUGGAUUAACGAGAUUCCCACUGUCCCUAUCUACUAUCUAGCGAAACCGCAGCCAAGGGAACGGACUUGGGAAGAUCAGCGGGGAAAGAAGACCCUGUUGAGCUUGACUCUAGUCUCCUUUUGUAGAGGAGCAUCUCUGGCGUAGAAUAGGGAGGAGGCUUCGGCCGACAGUGAAAUACUCCUACGGGGAUCGCUCCUCUGCUUACUCGGUUAGGCGAAGUUAGGACCUUCGGGGCCUAUUUCUUGAAUCAAACGGGUGGGCUCUGCCCGCCCGUGAUUCGCUCCGAGGACAUUGUGAGGCGGGGAGUUUGACUGGGGCGGUACAUCUGUCAAAUGAUAACGCAGGUGUCCUAAGGCCAGCUCAGUGAGGACGGAAACCUCACGUUGACCAAAAGGGGAAAAGCUGGCUUGACCUUUCCCUUCAGUACGGGGCAAGGAGCAGAAAUGUCGGCCUAUCGAUCCUCUUUAUUUCGGAGUUUGAAGAAAGAGGUGUCAGAAAAGUUACCACAGGGAUAACUGGCUUGUGGCUGCCAAGCGUUCAUAGCGACGUAGCUUUUUGAUCCUUCGAUGUCGGCUCUUCCUAUCAUUCAGAAGCAGAAUUCUGAUAGUGUCGGAUUGUUCACCCGCCAAUAGGGAACGUGAGCUGGGUUUAGACCGUCGUGAGACAGGUUAGUUUUACCCUACUGAUGACUUGAAGUCGCGAUAGUAAUCCUGCUCAGUACGAGAGGAACCGCAGGUUCGGACAUUUGGUACACGUACUCGGCCGAUAGGCCGGUGGUGCGAAGCUACCAUCCGUGGGAUUAUGCCUGAACGCCUCUAAGGCAGAAGCCCGCCUAGACAUGGCGACUUUACUGUUGGGCCUCCUUUUUGUGUGGGGAAGGAUAGGCUUCGGCCUCCAUCCCGGACUCGGGAACCUGGGCUUGUGCUUGAAGUGUGCUUGCCUUUCCUGAACAUCCAUCUAGCAGAGUGGAGGCCCCAAAUCGUCUGUAGACGACUUAUGUACCGGCCGAGGUGUCGUACUUGGUAGAGCAGCUACCACACUGCGAUCUAUUGAGACUCAGCCUU
rnacentral:rRNA from 1 species